UACGUAGGGUGCGAGCGUUUAAUCGGAAUUACUGGGUGUAAAGCGUGCGCAGGCGGUUCGUUGUGUCGGUGGUGAAAGCCCCGGGCUUAACCUGGGAAUGGCCAUGGAAACUGGCGAACUGGAGUGUGGCAGAGGGGGGUGGAAUUCCGCGUGUAGCAGUGAAAUGCGUAGAGUAUCGAGGAGGAACACGAUGGCGAAGGCAGCCCCCUUGG
rnacentral:rRNA from 1 species